UCAGUCUGGAAGCAAAGAGAUGAUUUCACCAUUGAUUCGUAAUGACCUUGAGAGAGGUCACUGCUAAUUAGGAAUGAUCAUAUCUGUGAAAAGCACUUCCUGUGAGCUUAAAAACAACCAACCACAGCAGAAACUUGAGCACCUAUUGUGUGCAGUGCACUGCGGGAAUAUGAGGAAGUAGCAGCACAGAAAGGGCACUGAGCUCCAACACCAAUGGAUCUGGAUUCUAAUUCCAGGUGUGCCACUGACUAAUUUUGUCAGCUUGGGCAAGGCAGCCGCCUGGCCUCAGUUUCUUCUCUGCAAAAUAGUUGAGCAGAGCGUGACCAACCGUCCCAGGGUGCCUGGGAUUCCCAGUUUUGGCACAGAAAGAUCUGUGUUCCCAGAAACCUCUCAGUACCAGAGCAAGCGACUGCCACUGCUGGUGUUGAGAACUAAAUCUGUUGUCCUAUUUUCAUGACUUUCAAGAAAAGGAUCCUCGGAUGACAAAUCGAGAGGGAAGAAAGCGGCGCUCAAGGUCUUGAGUGGAUUUACCACACUGUAAGGACUACAGAGGCUGCCAGCUGGCCCCCAGCGGACUCUGAGGAGAGAUGCGGCUGCCGGCAGAUUUAUGUUUAAUUUAGAAGCAAACUUCACAAUCGCCUUGUACAUUUUCUGUGUGCUUGAUUUCAUUUUGGCUUUAUGCUUAAGAUGAACUCCUAUUUCCAUCUCACCUCGUAGAAUAAAUUUGGC
rnacentral:lncRNA from 1 species